UGAAAAGAUUUGAUAUGCUAUUAUUGA
rnacentral:sRNA from 1 species